rnacentral:misc_RNA from 2 species
AACGCACCUUGCGCUCUCUGGUAUUCCGGGGAGCAUGCCUGUUUGAGAAUCGCAAAACAACACAAAUCACAUUCAUUUUUUUGAAUGUGGAGUUGAGCCUUUUUCCCUCUUUCUUGUAGAGAGGGAUGGCUUGAAAUACAGAAGGCCGGUCUGGGUAAAACCAGAUGCCAGGACAGAUUUAAGAGUAAUAAUAGUUAAUGCGUUUUCGCGUUAUCCUUUUGCUCUGUGUCUGCCUUGGUGUGUCGGCCUGACACUUUCUUCUUGAAAAAGAGGGGAGGAAACACUGUAACUUGACGAAGGAGUAUCACUUCUUCCGACUUCUCAGAUCUCAAAUCAGGCAAGAGUACCCGCUGAACUUAA